rnacentral:rRNA from 1 species
CGGCGUGCCUAACACAUGCAAGUCGAACGAGAAAGCGGGCUUCGGCCCGUGAGUACAGUGGCAGACGGGUGAGUAACACGUGGGUAACCUGCCCGAAGGUCGGGGGACAACUCUCCGAAACGGGGGGCUAAUACCGCAUAACAUCUCGAGGUCUUCGGACCAUGAGAUCAAAGUAGGCCUCUGAUUCAAGCUUACGCCAUCGGAUGGACCCGCGUCCCAUUAGUUUGUUGGUGAGGUAACGGCUCACCAAGACCGCGAUGGGUAGCCGGCCUGAGAGGGUGAUCGGCCACACUGGAACUGAGACACGGUCCAGACUCCUACGGGAGGCAGCAGUGAGGAAUUUUGCGCAAUGGGCGAAAGCCUGACGCAGCGACGCCGCGUGGAGGAAGAAGGUCCUCGGAUCGUAAACUCCUGUCAAGAGGGACGAAGUGUCGUGCGGUUAAUACCCGUACGGCUUGACGGUACCUCUGAAGGAAGCCCCGGCUAACUCCGUG